rnacentral:tRNA from 1 species
AGGGAAAUAGCUCAGGGGUAGAGCACAUGCUUAGCAUGCACGAGGUCCUGGGCUCAAUCCCCAGCACCUCCA